AAAGACAAUUGUUAAAUUACUCCCUAAAAAAUGUAAAAAUUUGGGUGAAUUGUUGAAGAUAUAUACUCUUAGUGCGGUAUGAUCUUCCUUAAUAGGUUGGAUUGGUGGUGCAUUUGUAUCAUAUUAAUUUGUUUGAUCUUCAACAAUUUGGUCAGUCUAAUUUAGCAAGCAGUUAUACUUUGUCUUUACGGGAUUUCAGGGACCCUAAUUUGUAAUCUAUCCAAUUGAUUUAUAUAGAGUACAAUUAUGUAUUAUUUUCAUGUAGUCUUAAAUUUUGUUCUCUAUAUGUUCAAACCAAGUGGUCAUCGGUGCAUGGGAUACUAUUAAUUUUGGAAAGAAUAGUAGGACUUCUAGAUGUUCCAACAGGAUCUUCAACUGUCUAGCCUGUUCCAUGUUUACAAUUAAUCAGAUAUGGGAAAGACGGUUGUCAUUGGGCUAGAUAAGGUCCAAAUGGGGUCUGGAGGGUAGGUAGGAUAUAUAGAGGUCCCCUCUUGUUACGAGGGAUCUCCUAACCUAAACCAGACUUCCAUUGCAUUUACUCUUCAACGUUUGGAAUCCCAUCUACCCUCUCAUACUUCAUUUUCACACCCCUCACUCUCUCUCUCUCUUGCAUAUCUAUCUGUAAGUCAAAGCUACUUCUGUGAUACCUGAGUUAUAAGAUCGAGCUUGUGGUAGCUUAACAAAGACAUGGCCUCCUUGAACUUAACACGUUACUACCCUCUCUGAUAAUCACCUUUUCUUUUCAAUAGCUAUGAAGAAAUCUCUCUGUCAGUCUGCUUUUGAUAUGCAGCUGAAUAAUUGCUCCAAGGUGUACUGGUUUUUCAUUCGGCGAGUGGUUUCCAUGCCACCCUUGUCAAGUGAACAGUCUCUUGCACUCUAUCUUUGUCUCGUUGUCUGUUCGACCUUGAGCUGAAUCACUAAUAAUUAUUACUACACACUUGUUCGACAAGAGUUUCUUGUGUUUUUAAUGAAAACAUUUAGAUUUAAAUUCCCUCUCACCAACUAUUGAAUUAUCGGAAAAAAAAAAUUACUUGUUCUGAAAUGAUCCCAAAAUACAUUAGUUUGAUAGUGGAUAUCUUAUUUAAGCUAUUGGGUGUAAUAUUAAGACACUGAUAAGUAUAUGUAGUUAAACCAUUUAUUGCACUUUUUUUUUUCUGCUAGCUUCUAUAUGUUCACUCUCUUCUAGAGACACAAUAAAAAAAAAUGUACGUAGGCACUCAAAUUAUGGAUCUGGUUGCUUUUCUAUUAUGUGUUUGUUACUUUGUCCUCUACAUCUUUAAUUUCAUUAUACCAUAUAAUUAAUUCGUAAACCUCUUAUCAAAUAUACUUGCAGUUCUAGCUCUUUGCUUGUUUCUGUAACUACGUGUCGUUUGUCACGGUUGCUACUAGGAUGACUUUGACAAAUUGUUAGCCCUCAAAGUGGGUCGUUUUAAGACCAUCCCAUAUAAGUCACGAGCUUUUAUAAAUUAGUCAUCAAUUGCUAAGCUGGUAGUUGUGAGAAAUGCCAGUGGCACGAAUAGAUGAUGAACCCGGAAGUUACAGUCACACAGUCAGUAUGGGACACAUCUCCAUUGACCUUGAGAUAGGGGUUGAAACCCAUAUUUUUAUACCUAGUUUUCAUUUUUCUAAGAUCAAUAAAAUUUUAUUAUUGUUUAGUCAGAGAGAUGACUACGUUUGGUUUGGAACCGCAACUCGUGGACUCCAAAGAACAAUGGUAUAUUCAAUCUAGGAAUUAGGAUGUUGUUUGGAUUCAACCUAGGUUUAGUCAAAGACGUAAUUUUUGGUGUCUUUUGUAGUUCCAUAAAAGCUUCAAAGAAUUAGGAUGGUUUUUGCAAGACUGUUCAAUAAUAGCUUCAAUUGUGAGUUCAAAAUUGGAGAAUCCAAAUCCACGAAAAUAAGUUAAUGAUAUAAAAGUUCUAAAGCAAAGCUCAAGGUUGAAAAGGCAACGAAAUUGAGGUAAAAACAGUAACUGUUUGCCUGACAAGCUUCGCAUGGACACCAAUGCCUCAUUUCUCUUCCAUUUGCAUCCCAAAAAUUUCUGCAUGAUCAAAAGAGUAAAAGUGAAGCAGUGGUGAAGAAAGAUAGCAAGGCUCGUGUAAAGAAGACUAAAGUACAAAAGAAGACAAUUAGUCUAAACGACAGUAGUAUUGGUGUUUUGUUGAGAAAGCUACGUGUAGUAUUAAAAGGUUAAGUGCAGCACGUGAAAUGCAUAUGAGAGAGUUGGCUGAGUUAUUAGUGGACAGAUGGCUAAUUGUUAUUGGAAGAGUGUAAAUAGGAAAAUCUGUUAUAAGUAGUUAGAGGUAGUUAGGGAUUUUCCUGCUCUUUUUAUCUUUUGGUAGAGUAGUAAUCCAUAGUAUAAAUGUAAAGUUGUGCAUUGUAAUUCAUUCACUUCUUGUAAUCACAGUACUUGAGCAAUAAGAAUUUUCUCUCUUACUUAGAAAAUUCUCUCUCUA